UUGUUAUAAUUUAAAUGUCACUAGGGAGUAGCUUCUCUUCUCUACAGAAGAUGGCUUACAUCAACAUACUUGAGCUUAGGCUUAUGGUGUAAGCGGUUUAAAUACUUGGCAAGACUUUUGACUACAAACACUUACUUAGGCUGUGGGUGCGUUGUAGUCAUUUGUUUAUGUCACAGCCUAGAGGACU
rnacentral:sRNA from 10 species